rnacentral:lncRNA from 1 species
UUCAAGUUGAUUGAUGGUUGAGUACUUUCAAAGUUCAAUUUCAAGAGCUCUAUAAAUAGCAACACCUAUAAACAUUGGGAUAUCACAUAAUUGCCACUUGCAUAAUCUUUGGAGACACAAGAAGAUAAAAUUAUAAUGGAGAGGAAAACACUCGUUGGCAUGUGUUUCUUCCUUAUUGUUUUCUUAGAUGCUCGUAAGUUUACCUUUAAAUUUAGAGUUUGAUUUUUAUAUAUAUGAUGCCGAUUUAAAUAUUUAUAUACUUGCUUAAAAUAAUAAUUUGUUUCAUUUCAAAAUUGCAGAAGAAGGAAUGGUGGAGAUUGAGGCAUGUGAAAUACCAUGUAUUUUGUUCGAUGGUGAAUGCAAUAGUUUACAAGACAAUGAUGUAUGUCAUUAUCUUUGCAGAAUAAAUGAACUUUUAUUAGGUGGUUCAUGCAAAAACUAUAAGUGCAUUUGUUAUGCCAAUUGAACGUCUCCACUAUGAGAGUAAUAUAUAUUAGAGACAAUUAAACCUAGCUAUUUGCUAAAAAAAAUAAUAAACCUAGCUAUAAUUUUAUUCAUGUAUAGCAAGUUCAAUGCCUAUGAAGUAAAUUAUGAAUUGAUCAUAUCUUCCAUUUGGUGAGAAGACAAUUAAUUACUAUGGAAUAAUAUAUAAUAAGCAAAUUUCGAGCUUAUUUAAUAAAUUCAUAUUACGAGAACACUGAUUAACAAGACUCAUAUAAGAACGUAACUCUAAUUCCCUUUGUAUUUACCAUACUAUCAAUGUAUGCGCUGCACAUAACUUUUCACUUGUUAUUGCCUCAGAGCCUUACUACAUCUCUUGUCUCUCCAAAUUAUCUUCUUCAUCUUCCAGGAUCUACGUGACCCAACAUUUAUGCCCCCAUUCCUAGACAAUCGUAUCCACAAUGGUUCCACUUCCAGCAACUCGUGUCCUGUCGUUUUAAAUUUUGAAGAUGUAAAAAGGGAAAACUAGUUUGAUAUGUGGAAUCGAUCAAACCGCCGGUUUUCCAGUUUUUGCCGGUUUUCAACCGGUUUCCUGGUCUGCUAUCUCGGAUCAUGUCUCUGUAAGAGCGUCUCAACACUCUCAAAAAAGGGACAUCUUCUGCUGCAUCAUACCUUCAGUCCAUGAAAUCCAUUUCUGAUGAGUUAUCACUCAUCGGACAUCCUCUUGAUGAUCUCGAUUUGGUCAUUUAUGCACUUGAUGGAUUAGGACCUACCUUUCAUGAAUUCACAGCAUCCAUCCGUACUCGUGAUUCGCCAAUCUUGUUUCAUGAUUUGUAUGACAAAUUAAUUGAUUUUGAGCUGUUUUUACAGCACGAGGAGCGCACAAAUGAAGCACUCCCAGUCAAUGUGAAUCCUGUUCAGCGUCGUUCUGGAUAUUCGGAGAGAGAUAUAUAGCAUUGUGAGUCUCAAUAGCUUAAUAGGCUAAUAAACGGUUAUACCUUUGAGUAUCACAGAAGUUGUACCAAGCUAUUGCUCUAUAAAUUGCAUUAAUGUUGUGACAAAUGAUUUAUUUUAUUUUCUUACAAACAUGUUUUAUGUUGAAAAGUUAUAUAAAGUUAUGGCUCCACAGUCCCUGUGAGAUCGAUGUCUUUUUAUACUAUCACUUGGACAAUGUAUAUUUGAACUCAACUUUUCCACCUUAAAAUACUCAUAGUAUUUUGAGAGAUAUCAAAUUCGAUGACCCAACCUAAAACAACUUGUUUAUCACUAAGUCACUUUGGUUUUUGACUAAAAGAAAAAUAAUCAAUUUUUUAACCAAACUUAAAUCAAUAAGAUUUGAUUUAAUUAGAUUAUAGAUUUCCCC